rnacentral:rRNA from 1 species
CAGCCGCCGCGGGAAUACGCAGGUGGCAAGCGUUGUCCGGAAUUAUUGGGCGUAAAGGGCGCGUAGGCGGACUGAUAAGUCAGGGGUGAAAUCCCAAGGCUCAACCUUGGAACUGCCUUUGAUACUGUUUGUCUUGAGUUCGAGAGAGGUAAGUGGAACUGCGAGUGUAGAGGUGAAAUUCGUAGAUAUUCGCAAGAACACCAGUGGCGAAGGCGGCUUACUGGCUCGAAACUGACGCUGAGGCGCGAAAGCGUGGGAGCAAACAGGAUUAGAUACCCCCGUAGUCCCUGUCUCUUAUACA